GACGAACGCUGGCGGCGUGCUUAACACAUGCAAGUCGAACGGAAAGGCCCUGCUUUUGUGGGGUGCUCGAGUGGCGAACGGGUGAGUAACACGUGAGUAACCUGCCCUGUACUUGGGGAUAACUUCAGGAAACUGGGGCUAAUACCGGAUAGGAGCUCCUGCUGCAUGGGGGGGGUUGGAAAGUUUCGGCGGUUGGGGAUGGACUCGCGGCUGAGCAGCUAGUUGGUGGGGUAAUGGCUUACCAAGGCGUCGAUGGGUAGCCGGCCGGAGAGGAUGACCGGCCACACUGGGACUGAGACACGGCCCAGACUACUACGGGAGGCAGCAGUGGGGAAUUGUGGAAAAUGGGGGCAACCCUGAUCCAGCCAUGCCGCGUGCGGGAAGAAGGCCGUCGGGUUGUAAACCGCUGUUGUGCGGGAAGAAAUCCUCUGGGCGAAUACCCCGGGGGGAUGACGGUACCGGAAGAAUAAGCACCGGCUAACUACGUG
rnacentral:rRNA from 1 species